CCCAUUUGCCCAAAUGGACUCACCUGAUUAAGAAAAAAAAACGUCAAUUGAAGUUACACAACCAAAAUAAAAUAAAGCAGAAGCAGAGAGAUGUACUAACGUGAUACAAAACAUACCAUGAUUUUCUCAAUAAGCGCUCAAAAAUGAAAUACGCUAACCUCCUGCUGCUGUUGAUUAUCGAGAAAGGUGAACCAAACCCUUCAAGAUUUGAUCGAAUCUGGAAGCAAAGAGUAAAACAAUCCUUUUUCAGAAUGGAGCCGCCGUACGGAAGACAGUGAGAUGGAUUGGCAAAGAGACGCAGAUGAAUGUUGGAGCUGAGCAGAGAGAGCGUACUAUAUAAUAUGUAUGUCUGAGCUAUUAGGGAAACGCAGAAGGGAAAACCUAAAGAUGGAAAGAAAUUUAUGAGGCGGUCGUAAAAAAAGCAAAUAAAUUGAAAGGGAAAAA
rnacentral:misc_RNA from 1 species